UACGGGGGGGGCAAGCGUUGUUCGGAAUUACUGGGCGUAAAGGGUUCGUAGGUGGCCAACUAAGUCAGACGUGAAAUCCCUCAGCUUAACUGGGGAACUGCGUCUGAUACUGGUUGGCUUGAGUGCAGGAGAGGAACGCGGAACUCCAGGUGUAGCGGUGAAAUGCGUAGAUAUCUGGAGGAACACCGGUGGCGAAGGCGGCGUUCUGGACUGCAACUGACACUGAGGAACGAAAGCCAGGGGAGCAAACGGG
rnacentral:rRNA from 1 species